CCAGCAGCCGCGGUAAUACGUAGGUGGCAAGCGUUGUCCGGAAUUAUUGGGCGUAAAGGGCUCGCAGGCGGUUUCUUAAGUCUGAUGUGAAAGCCCCCGGCUCAACCGGGGAGGGUCAUUGGAAACUGGGGAACU
rnacentral:rRNA from 1 species